rnacentral:lncRNA from 1 species
GUUUUCUGAAUGAAACUUGAGCCACAGCCACAUGCAAAGAAAUGAAUUUAUAGCUAUUCAACUCUUUUGCUAUCAUAAGAUCCUUAAAGUCAACACAGAACCAAGGAGGGAAGCCUGUGGGCUAUUGGAAGUAACCACAGCUCUAGUACAAGAAUGAUACAAUUAUACCAGAACCCUCAUAUGGUCUGUUUAAAAAAAGUCACGUCAUUCCCUAUUUGAGAGAGAGAGGUUCAACAAGGUAUGAGACUGGAGGCAAAAAUCAUUCACAGCAGAAACAGAGGCCUCACACAGAUCCUGUGGGUGUAUCCAAAACGUCUGAUUGGAACUUACCAGCAGUCCGUUCAGCAAAACCACAAAUACUUGAUAUUUGAAUACAAACUGAUGUCAGCUUUGACUUGA